rnacentral:rRNA from 1 species
GGUGAGCCGCGGGAACACACGUUUACCAUUAUGAGAUUAGCACGUGCUAACCCCAGCC